GGGGCUGUAGCUCAGUCGGGAGAGUGCCUCCUUGGCGUGGAGGAAGUCGCGGGUUCGACUCCCGCCAGCUCCACCA
rnacentral:tRNA from 1 species